UUCCGGUUGAUCCUGCCGGACCUGACUGCUAUCGGAUUGAUACUAAGCCAUGCGAGUCAUUGUAGCAAUACAAGGCAGACGGCUCAGUAACGCGUAGUCAACCUAACCUAUGGACGGGAAUAACCUCGGGAAACUGAGAAUAAUGCCCGAUAGAACACUAUGCCUGGAAUGGUUUGUGUUCCAAAUGAUUUAUCGCCGUAGGAUGGGACUGCGGCCUAUCAGUUUGUUGGUGAGGUAAUGGCCCACCAAGACUAUUACAGGUACGGGCUCUGAGAGGAGUAGCCCGGAGAUGGGUACUGAGACACGGACCCAGGCCCUAUGGGGCGCAGCAGGCGAGAAAACUUUGCAAUGUGCGAAAGCACGACAAGGUUAAUCCGAGUGGUUUGUGCUAAACAGACCUUUUGUUAGUCCUAGAAACACUAACGAAUAAGGGGUGGGCAAGUUCUGGUGUCAGCCGCCGCGGUAAAACCAGCACCUCAAGUGGUCAGGAUGAUUAUUGGGCCUAAAGCAUCCGUAGCCGGCUCUGUAAGUUUUCGGUUAAAUCUGUAUGCUCAACGUACAGGCUGCCAGGAAUACUGCAGAGCUAGGGAGUGGGAGAGGUAGACGGUACUCGGUAGGAAGGGGUAAAAUCCUUUGAUCUAUUGAUGACCACCUGUGGCGAAGGCGGUCUACCAGAACACGUCCGACGGUGAGGGAUGAAAGCUGGGGGAGCAAACCGGAUUAGAUACCCGGGUAGUCCCAGCUGUAAACUAUGCAAACUCAGUGAUGCAUUGACUUGUGGUCAAUGCAGUGCUGCAGGGAGGCCGUUAAGUUUGCCGCCUGGGAAGUACGUACGCAAGUAUGAAACUUAAAGGAAUUGGCGGGGGAGCACCAC
rnacentral:rRNA from 1 species